AGAAUGAACGCUGGCGGCGUGCUUUACACAUGCAAGUCGAGCGAGGCUGGGUAGCAAUACCCAAGUCGAGCGGCGAACGGGUGAGUAACACGUGGAUAACCUGCCCUAAGGUGUGGAACAACCAGGGGAAACUCUGGCUAAUACCGCAUGAUACCGAGAGGUCAAAGGGGCCCUGCAAGGGGUCUCGCCAUAGGAGGGUCCGCGUCCGAUUAGCUAGUUGGUAGGGUAAUGGCCUACCAAGGCGACGAUCGGUAGCCGGCCUGAGAGGGUGAUCGGCCACACUGGAACUGAGACACGGUCCAGACUCCUACGGGAGGCAGCAGUGGGGAAUUUGCGCAAUGGGCUAACGCCUGACGCAGCAACGCCGCGUGGAGGAUGAAGGUCUUUGGAUUGUAAAACUCCUGUCAGCAAGGAAAAAAGCGACCUAGACUCGUAUACGUCGAGGGUAGUUGAUUUGUACCUUGCAAGGAAGGAACGCCCCGGCUAAACUCUGUCGCAGCAGCCGACGGUAAU
rnacentral:rRNA from 1 species